rnacentral:tRNA from 1 species
UGCCUCUAAUCAGAGUUGAACUGAUAUUUACGCUUUACGAGAGCGUUGUCCUUGCCGUUAGACUAUAGAGGC